rnacentral:rRNA from 1 species
CACGUAGGCGGAUUGUUAAGUCAGGGGUGAAAUCCUGGAGCUCAACUCCAGAACUGCCUUUGAUACUGGCGAUCUUGAGUCCGGGAGAGGUGAGUGGAACUGCGAGUGUAGAGGUGAAAUUCGUAGAUAUUCGCAAGAACACCAGUGGCGAAGGCAGCUCACUGGCCCGGUACUGACGCUGAGGUGCGAAAGCGUGGGGAGCAAACA